CAGUCGCCGCGGAAAAACGUAGGUGGCAAGCGUUGUCCGGAAUUAUUGGGCGUAAAGGGCUCGCAGGCGGUUUCUUAAGUCUGAUGUGAAAGCCCCCGGCUCAACCGGGGAGGGUCAUUGGAAACUGGGAAACUUGAGUGCAGAAGAGGAGAGUGGAAUUCCACGUGUAGCGGUGAAAUGCGUAGAGAUGUGGAGGAACACCAGUGGCGAAGGCGACUCUCUGGUCUGUAACUGACGCUGAGGAGCGAAAGCGUGGGGAGCGAACAGGAUUAGAUACCCCAGUAGUCCCUGUCUCUUAUAC
rnacentral:rRNA from 1 species